UGUUCCUGGAGAUCUACUGUCCUGUAGGUUCAGUCCAACCCUGUUCCUGGAGAUCUACUGUCCUGUAGGUUCAGUCCAACCCUGUUCCUGGAGAUCUACUGUCCUGUAGGUUCAGUCCAACCCUGUUCCUGGAGAUCUACUGUCCUGUAGGUUCAGUCCAACCCUGUUCCUGGAGAUCUACCGUCCUGUAGGUUCAGUCCAACCCUCUUCCUGGAGAUCUACUGUCCUGUAGGUUCAGUCCAACCCUCUUCCUGGAGAUCUACUGUCCUGUAGGUUCAGUCCAACCCUGUUCCUGGAGAUCUACUGUCCUGUAGGUUCAGUCCAACCCUGUUCCUGGAGAUCUACUGUCCUGUAGGUUCAGUCCAACCCUGUUCCUGGAGAUCUACUGUCCUGUAGGUUCAGUCCAACCCUGUUCCUGGAGAUCUACUGUCCUGUAGGUUCAGUCCAACCCUGUUUCUGGAGAUCUACUGUCCUGUAGGUUCAGUCCAACCCUCUUCCUGGAGAUCUACUGUCCUGUAGGUUCAGUCCAACCCUGUUCCUGGAGAUCUACUGUCCUGUAGGUUCAGUCCAACCCUGUUCCUGGAGAUCUACUGUCCUGUAGGUUCAGUCCAACCCUCUUCCUGGAGAUCUACUGUCCUGUAGGUUCAGUCCAACCCUGUUCCUGGAGAUCUACUGUCCUGUAGGUUCAGUCCAACCCUGUUCCUGGAGAUCUACUGUCCUGUAGGUUCAGUCCAACCCUGUUCCUGGAGAUCUACUGUCCUGUAGGUUCAGUCCAACCCUGUUUCUGGAGAUCUACUGUCCUGUAGGUUCAGUCCAACCCUGUUCCUGGAGAUCUACUGUCCUGUAGGUUCAGUCCAACCCUGUUUCUGGAGAUCUACUGUCCUGUAGGUUCAGUCCAACCCUCUUCCUGGAGAUCUACUGUCCUGUAGGUUCAGUCCAACCCUCUUCCUGGAGAUCUACUGUCCUGUAGGUUCAGUCCAACCCUGUUCCUGGAGAUCUACUGUCCUGUAGGUUCAGUCCAACCCUGUUCCUGGAGAUCUACUGUCCUGUAGGUUCAGUCCAACCCUGUUCCUGGAGAUCUACUGUCCUGUAGGUUCAGUCCAACCCUGUUCCUGGAGAUCUACUGUCCUGUAGGUUCAGUCCAACCCUGUUCCUGGAGAUCUACUGUCCUGUAGGUUCAGUCCAACCCUGUUUCUGGAGAUCUACUGUCCUGUAGGUUCAGUCCAACCCUGUUCCUGGAGAUCUACUGUCCUGUAGGUUCAGUCCAACCCUGUUCCUGGAGAUCUACUGUCCUGUAGGUUCAGUCCAACCCUGUUUCUGGAGAUCUACUGUCCUGUAGGUUCAGUCCAACCCUCUUCCUGGAGAUCUACUGUCCUGUAGGUUCAGUCCAACCCUCUUCCUGGAGAUCUACUGUCCUGUAGGUUCAGUCCAACCCUGUUCCUGGAGAUCUACUGUCCUGUAGGUUCAGUCCAACCCUGUUCCUGGAGAUCUACUGUCCUGUAGGUUCAGUCCAACCCUCUUCCUGGAGAUCUACUGUCCUGUAGGUUCAGUCCAACCCUGUUCCUGGAGAUCUACUGUCCUGUAGGUUCAGUCCAACCCUGUUCCUGGAGAUCUACUGUCCUGUAGGUUCAGUCCAACCCUCUUCCUGGAGAUCUACUGUCCUGUAGGUUCAGUCCAACCCUGUUCCUGGAGAUCUACUGUCCUGUAGGUUCAGUCCAACCCUGUUUCUGGAGAUCUACUGUCCUGUAGGUUCAGUCCAACCCUGUUCCUGGAGAUCUACUGUCCUGUAGGUUCAGUCCAACCCUGUUUCUGGAGAUCUACUGUCCUGUAGGUUCAGUCCAACCCUCUUCCUGGAGAUCUACUGUCCUGUAGGUUCAGUCCAACCCUCUUCCUGGAGAUCUACUGUCCUGUAGGUUCAGUCCAACCCUCUUCCUGGAGAUCUACUGUCCUGUAGGUUCAGUCCAACCCUCUUCCUGGAGAUCUACUGUCCUGCAGGUUCAG